GACGAACGCUGGCGGCGUGCCUAAUACAUGCAAGUCGAACGCAGUGGGGACGGGUGAGUAACACGUGGGUAACCUCCCAUCAGAGGGGAUACCACUUGGAAACAGGUGCUAAACCGAUACUGAUGGAUGGACCCGCGGUGCAUUAGCUAGUUGGUGAGGUAACUGGUCACCAAGGCCACGAUGCAUAGCCGACGUGAGAGGUAGAUCACCCACAAUGGGAAUGAGAAACGGCCCAGACUCCUACGGGAGGCAGCAGUAGGGAAUCUUCGACAAGGGACGCAAGGCUGACCGAGCAACGCCGCGUGAGUGAAGAAGGUUUUCGGAUCGUAAAACUCUGUUGUUAGAGAAGCGGUAUCUAACCAGAAAGCCACGGCUAACUACGUGCCAGGCACCGCGGUAAUAC
rnacentral:rRNA from 1 species